GAGCCAAAGGCAGACACUUAACCAACUGAGCCACCCAGGCGUCGCUCACAUUUGGAAAAUUGUAAAUAACCUGACCUCAUUGGGCCUCAGCUAGAGGCUGAGGAGAGUCUACCUAGUACCUUUCUUGCAACGUCAGAUAAUGAGUACCUGUUGGUGCCUGGCACUGAGCUUUCAGGCAUGUGAGUGUGGAGCUGUUCUGCUCUGCUUUGCUGCUGGUGAUGCACAUGUAUGCAUAGAAGGAACUCAUUUUCCUCCUGGGUCUGACCUUCUGUCUGAAAGCUUAAUACCUUUCUGAUCUUGUGAAUCAGUGGCUGAGUCUCCAUUCCAAACCCCUAUCAGUCCCAGAAACCUGAACACAUUUUUCUGAUGCUUAUGGUAACCUUUCUGCGAUGUACUUGGCGUGGCCAAGAAGGUACUUCUUGAUCCUUCUCCAUAACUGGUAGUUAGCUCUGCCCAUUAAAUCAUCCCCCUCCUCUUCUAUUUCUGUUAAUCGUAAUAGAGGGAGGAGGGACAGAAGGAAACCUCUGGCUUUUGCAGCUUUGUCAUGAACCAAUAGAGGCUCCACAUCAGGAUGUGGAGCAGGUGCCCUGAAUUGGUGGGAUACCGCAUGACCUUCGCGGCCGCUGAUUCCUGGAGGCUGGCACAUGCUGGGAUAGGAGCCCCCUUGCCCCCAGCGCCCAGCCAGUGCUCUGAGCAUUCCAGCUGUGCAGGAGGGGUUCUGAUGUGGUGGGACCCAGAGAGUAUCCGCAAAUACUUCAAGUACAGUGUCAGCAUUUAUGCAGUUGGGAUGGGGAGAAGCUGUGAUUUAUAUAAAUAAAGCUAGUAAGCCUGUUUCUUUAUAUGUAAACUAGGGGAUUACAUGUGUUUAUUUCAUGUAAGUUUCUGAACUAAGCAAGAUCUUGGAAAAUAUAGUAAAGGAGUUAAAAUUUAGUUAUUCAAACACAUUAUUUAUUCCUACAAAAUCACUCCAAUGUCUAGGGUUAGUGUGUUUGUGAAAUUUUAGCUGACCUGGACCUCCUGACUAGGUGGCUGUCAGUUGGCUGGUUUUGGGCCUGGUGGCCUGUUGUGGCCUCUAAUUACACCUUGCAGCUUGCAAAGAGGUUCACCCAGCAUGCUCUCGAAGUGCAGUCCGACUUUUUUUAUCAUCCCCUCCCACCAAGUGCGCUAUCUUCUUUGACAGAAGUGGGACCGAUUUCUAUUUUGCCAGCUGUGGAAAAAGCAGAAUGGGGAGACCUAACUUAACUGAUACCAUGUUUCCAACUUAUUCCAGGGAGUUGUAACAUUUCUUAUAAACGUUCAUCCCAGGUGGCUGCCCAACUAGCUCACCAUUUACUAUGGCUCUUUUUUUAAAAUUUAAUUGGGAAAAUGCUUAGGAGAUUUGCCAGGAUCUCAGUUAUGGCCUAUGUGCACUGUGUUUAUUCAUUUCUUCAGCAAACAAUGGGUGUCAUUCCAGCCUGGAUUACCACUGGGUCUUGGGGUAGCAGGUUGUAGCAGGGGCCUCGGGGCACUGUGCUGGGAGG